GCCGUUAUCGAAUUUCAGCCGAGUUUUGAUGAUCUCCUGCUGGUGGAGCUGAUUUUCGAUAUGUGGAACAAAAUCCAGUGAGGAUUCGCAAACCAGAAAACUCAACACAACCCAUCAAUUUUGUAGACCCCUUUUUCGAUUAUUAUCUCUCUCUCGAUUCUCUCUAUUCCCAUUCACCAUGCGUCCGUGUAUGUAUAUUUAUGUGGGAUUCCCGUGAGUUUUCCCUUUGAUCCAUUAUUUUGUGUGUGUGGCAGUCCAGAUCAGUGAGUGUGUGUUUGGUAUCUUGUUGCGUGAUUGAUUGUAUUGUGAGAGUAUUCUGUAGAAGACCGUGGUGUUUCUCUCCGUUGAGUGAAUGGAAGCUGUGUGUAUGUAGUGUAUUAUUAUGUAGAAAAAUGAGUGGGGUAGGGUAGGGGGCCUAGGGGUAUAGGGUAGUGAUAGGUGGUAGGGGUAUGGGGUGUGACGUGGCAAAAUUAGUUAGGAUGGGUGGUGAAUUUUUUAAGAUGAGGUGUUAAAAGUUGGUAACAAUUUGUUGGAUUUAUUUUUGUGUGAAAUUUAUCACAUGGAUGAAGGUCUACGAUAAAGUGAGGGUAAAUGAAUAAAAACACACUCUCGGGAAGGACAAAAUUACGUAUCUACAUCAUGCCCCUCUUUGAAUGUAAAUACAAAGUGUUUUCAUGCAAAGAACUAGAUAACAAGAUAGGAUUUUGACCCGACCAUUAUUCAAAGGAGGAAAGAAGGAGGAAGGAAAACCAAGUUAGAUAGUCUAGUGAGGUUCUGUUGAGGUUCAGAUCUGCGGAUCUGUCAUUACCUAAAAAUAAAAAUUACAAGUUAAAAAUAUAAAUAAAAUCACAAAAUUUCUAUCUAUGCAGCUUUCCUUGACUCUUGACUUGCUAUUUCAUCGCCCUAUUCUUCAGGCGGGCUCCUAACUUGCAAUUUCUUUAAUUUGUUGCUUGAUUUCAAUUUCUUCACCCUGUUCUUCAGGUGGGCUCCUGACUUGCUAUUUUUUAAUCUGUUGACUUUCAAUUUCUUCACCUUGUUUCUUGACUUUCAACUUCUUCACCUUGUUACUUGACUUUCCAUUUAUUCACCCUGUUCUUCGGGCGGGCUCCUCAAAUCACAUCAAAACUAGAAAGAAAAUUAUCCCAAACAAGUGUUAUUAUAAAGAGAGAUUCCAUUUGCCAAAAAAUUAAUGUUCCAAAAAUAGGAAUUAAAUUUUUGCCCCAAUUUAACAUCUAAGGACUUUUGUGACAGUUGCAUCAUAACUACUUGAAAUACUCGAACAAAGAAAUGCAUCUUCUAUGGGUUAAUUGAAAUGAUUCGACUAGAAAGUGCAUUUUUUAGGAGUCAAAGGGAAUGACUUGACUAGAAAAUAUAUUUUCUAGGAAUCAAAGAGUAUGACUCGAAUAGAAAGUAUAUCUUCUAGGAAUCAAGGGGACUGACUUGACUAGGAAAUUCAUCUUCUAAGAAUCAAGGAGAAUGACUCGACCAGGAAGUACAUCUUUUAGUAAUCAAGAGGAUUGUCUCGACCAGGAAGUACAUCUUCUAGGAAUUAAAGGAUUGACUUGACUAGGGAGUACAUCUUCUAGGAAUCAAGGGGAAUGACUCGACUAGGAAAUACAUUAUCUAGUGUCACACCCCCUUUUUUAACGAAAAAGAUAUGAAUUUUAAGUUUGAAAGGGUUUUUAUUGUUACGUGACAAAAUGAAGAUUCAUUUCGAAAAAGAAUUAUUUAUAUUUUUACUCAGAGUCACCACUUGGCAUAAUCCGGCAUGCCAAGUCACCUUUGGAAAAUUCUUUUCAAAAUGAUUUGACUUUUUAAACUGGUUUGCGAACAGAGAUUCUGGCUAAGAAAUUCUGUUGACCAAGGGGAAGGUGUUAGGCACCCUUUGAUCCCGUGGUUUGACCACAGUCGCUUGGUGGAGCGUAUCAGCUAUUUUGGUAUUACGAAUGUAUAAACCACAGAAAAACACAUAAAACAAUCAAUCAAACAAACAAAACAAAUCCAAAAUAUAAUGUCCAGUCUAAUUAUACAGUCCCAAAAUAAAAAAAAAAUGAAAAUGUAAACCUAUGCUAACCUACACUAAUCCUAAACUACGCUCCAAUGUUUUACCCGAUGCCUUGGGCCUUAAUCACGAACCUCUUUCAAAGACAUAAUACGUCGGAGCAUUCCCCGAUGAAUAAGUACAUGAAACCUCGGGGCAUUCCCCGACUAAAUGAAUACACUUUCAAUUUUUGCGGUAAAGUCGGAAGAAUCAUUCACACCCACAUUCAAAAAUUCAACAAAAACCAUAAUCUCUAAAUUUUCCUACCCGACUUAGCAUUUGCCUACUAAUUUGUGAUUUAAAUCAACAAUAAUGAAUCAAAAUUAAACCACUUUCAUUUCGUCAAUCUCAACCCCUCCCAAAAAGUCAAUUUCAAUUCUCAAUCAAUUAUUAACUAAUCCUUAGAUUAUCGAUUCAAUUUUCAUAAUCCGAAUUCAACAUCAACCAAUAUUCAUGAUUCAGACAUCACAAAAUUAAACAAAGCAAGAUCCACGUAUCAUCAAUUCGCCACACAAAAUAUCAGAACUUAAAAUUACUCAAGAAAAAGGAUGAGAAAUGGACCUCAAUUCGGAACUUUCAAAGAAUAUUGCUUGAUAAAAUAAAGAAUUCGCUCCCGAUAGCCUCGAACCAAACCUCAACCACGAGAAAGAUCCAACUCGAUAUCGCAAAUUCUUCGCACAAAUUUGAGUCCAAAAUCGAUCCCAAACAGAAUUGAAUCAACCCCAAACAGAAUUGAAGAUGAAAUAUUAACUCAACUGAGUCAUAAAUUAUGCAAAACCGAGAAAAACUGUAUUGAAAUCCUACCGGAGCCAACCCGAAUCUCAACAAAAUCAAACCAAACAUCGAUUUUAGCUAAUUUUAGUUACUGGUUUAGAUUUUUAUUGGUGAGAAGGACAAUUUUCAGGUCGGUGGUGAUUUACCCAACGUCUAAUAACGAAUUCUGGCGACAUCAUCACCGGAAAGCAUCGAUGCCAGCCGAAUCUCGCUCACCUUCUUAAUUUCGCACUAUUUCUAUUCUUGAACCUCACGAUUUUACUCUCUCUCAUGUUGCUGCAUCAACCUACACACUGCGUGUAUGACUCUAUAUUUCUUUUCCCCUCGUUUAUGUGUGUCGCGCCCAAGAAGAAGAAGACACAAAAAAAUGGAGUCCGUCUAUUCCCUGUUUGUGGUGUGCAUGAAUCUAUGUAGAGGAAAACAUUGAAAAUUGUCUAGUAAGUUUUUGGUGUUUUUGUAUUAUUGGAAUUAUGUUGAGUGUGUUGAGAGAGUGAGGAAGAUGAAUUUUGUGUGUGAUCUGUACGUAUAUAAUGGGUGUCCAGGAGAAAAAAAAUAAAUUCCCUCCCGUGUUCUCUCCUGCUAUAAAUGGAAAUUGUUUUUUUCUUUAGUGUAUUCCCCUGGAAGCUUCUUUUUUGUGUUCAUUGCCCUUUUUAAGAGAAAAAGAAUGAAAAAAUAUAUGUAAAAGGGGUAGUGGGUAGGGUAGGGGUAUGUGGUGAGUGGUG
rnacentral:lncRNA from 1 species